rnacentral:rRNA from 1 species
AGUGAACGCUGGCGGUAGGCCUAACACAUGCAAGUCGAACGGCAGCACAGUAAGAGCUUGCUCUUACGGGUGGCGAGUGGCGGACGGGUGAGGAAUACAUCGGAAUCUACUUUUUCGUGGGGGAUAACGUAGGGAAACUUACGCUAAUACCGCAUACGACCUACGGGUGAAAGCAGGGGAUCUUCGGACCUUGCGCGAUUGAAUGAGCCGAUGUCGGAUUAGCUAGUUGGCGGGGUAAAGGCCCACCAAGGCGACGAUCCGUAGCUGGUCUGAGAGGAUGAAUAGGCAAAAUGGAAAUGAAACAAGGUCCAGGACCCCAAGGGAGGGCACAAGGGGGAAAAAUGGGCAAAGGGCGGAAGCCUGAACCAGGCAAAACGGGUGGGUGGAAGAAGCCUUCCGGGUUGUAAAGCCCUUUGUUGGGAAAGAAAAGCAGCAGGUUAAUACCCCGCUGUUCUGACGGUACCCAAAGAAUAAGCACCGGCUAACUUCGUG